rnacentral:rRNA from 1 species
AUUGAACGCUGGCGGCAGGCCUAACACAUGCAAGUCGAGCGGAUGAAGGGAGCUUGCUCCUGGAUUCAGCGGCGGACGGGUGAGUAAUGCCUAGGAAUCUGCCUGGUAGUGGGGGAUAACGUCCGGAAACGGGCGCUAAUACCGCAUACGUCCUGCGGGAGCAAGUGGGGGAUCUUCGGACCUCACGCUAUCAGAUGAGCCUAGGUCGGAUUAGCUAGUUGGUGGGGUAAAGGCCUACCAAGGCGACGAUCCGUAACUGGUCUGAGAGGAGGAUCAGUCACACGGGAACUGGGACACGGUCCAGACGCCUACGGGAGGCAGCAGUGGGGAAUAUUGGACAAUGGGCGAAAGCAUGAUCCAGCCAUGCCGCGUGUGUGGAGAAGGUCUUCGGAUUGUAAAGCACUUUAAGUUGGGAGGAAGGGCAGUAAGUUAAUACCUUGCUGUUUUGACGUUACCAACAGAAUAAGCACCGGCUAACUUCGUG